AAAAAAUCGCGGAACAUACAUGGGGGUGAUUUGGAUAGCCCUAGUGAUGCUCUACCUCUGGGCUUCGGAGCUAUUGAGUUAAGCAUUAUGUCACGUAUAAUGUUUCCAAAGAUCACACUCCCACAAGAUUUAUGAUGGGCAGACUGCUCAUGACUGACUUCAUCAGAAGAACACUCACAAAAAGGAGACGGAACUAGUUUGAAUUCGUGAAACUUAAGUUUAAAGUUGCCUU